GUACAUUACCUUUUGAAAGGUUUCCAUCAUAUGUAAGACACAAAAGUUAAAUAAUGAACAUUGGUUUUUCGUGUACUGAGCUUGUUUUUUGUUUUUCCUUGUUUUUCAUUCACGGGAAAACCGAGCUUAUCGUUCCUACGCUCGGCCAUGGAACUGUUCUGGAACUUGCCGUGGGAAUGACUGGCUACUCAGCCAUGGUCCUGCCCCUUUCCUUGAGAAUCCAGUCGAAACUUCUAGGAUACAAGCUGAAUAAAAACACAGAAAUGUUCAUUCUCAUGCUAGGAAUGUACAUGUACUUAAUCACAUCGAUCGUGGAAUUUUACACCUUGUUUCAGACAAUAAUGUCAAAAUCAUUAAUAGUCAAACCGAAUCAUAACUUGCUCGUAAUUUUGAAGAUUUUCUUUUCUCUCACGUUGGCAAUGGUUUUGGUCAUGGACGCCAACCGUGUGACAAACAGUUCAGUACGAAAAUAAGAGCGGGCACAUUACAAAACUAAAAAUACACUUUUUCAACACAAAAACACCUUUUUUCCUUAGUUUGAUAUGUUUCUUAUAUUUGACAUACUUUUUAAUUUGUAAAAAAAUUAAACAUGUGUUUGUUUUCUUGUGGUUCGUACUAGCCAAUAAACCAUGUAUGACUACCAAAACCUUUCUAUUUACUUGAAAAUCACGGAAUUCAUGAUGAGCAUUAUUGUAAGUUCGUUUCAUAUAAAGACUGAAUUUUCAAUUCCACAAAUCGGCUACGGCACGAAUCUCAAUCUUUUAAUCCUCUCAACUUCUUUUUCUGCUAUGAUCGUCCCCUUCGCCGUUAGGAUCCAAGCUUCUAUAGUUAAAGAUUUUCCGUUUGAGCCCAUCACUGAAUUGUUAUUUACUGUAGCCGGGACGAUGUGUUACGCGGCGGGUGGCCUCGUAACGAUAAUGGAGUGGCGGAACAAACAGUCACUGGACACCGUUUUCUUCAGAACUACUUUCAACGAAAUAUUUUUAGCGAAAGGUAUAAUUUCUUCUCUUCUAAGUUUAAUCGUUAUGGUCGACAUCUACGUAGAAUAUAAAUAUUCCAAGGGAAGACUCGAUUCGCUUUAUUAAACAAUUUUAUUGGUCAUCUGAGUGUUAUGAAUGUUUGUUAAAAAAAAUGUGACGUUAUAAAUAUAUAUUUGAAGGAAUAUUUACAAUGUUUUAACUGAAAUGAUACAACUUUGUUGUGGUUUGUUUAAACUUCAUCGCUCAUCAAAACAAAGUAGGCGUCGAUGCAGAAACCAGCAGCGAGGAGAAUAGACGAUAUGCCUUUUAUGAGUAGUAUCUCUGUGAAAAACCGCCUGAAUAUAACAGCGCGCACUUUUUGCGUCCUCAUCCAACAUUGGAUCGUGACGGCAGAAGCGACCAAGUAGACCAUGAAUCCCAUGAACAACAAAGCACACUCCUAGAACUGCAAGAAUUAAUAACUGCGGACAGGAUUUAUUAGUAAAAUUUCUAAAUUUUUCUUACCGCGACUUUCCCCACGCCGGGUCUGAGAAUGGAAGACUGCAGCCUGAGCGCCACAGGGAUGAUCAUAGCAGAAUAGACAGUCAUCAUAGCGGCAACCUCCCACUGAGUUCCGUACCCGAGCGACGGCACUACGAACUCCGUUUUAGUGUGUGCCACCAUCAAAAGUAUAAUAACUGCCUGAAAAAACGUUCCAUCCUCGACACUCAAAUACAUUCCUACAGAUAUACAACUUACCAGUUCAAACAGCCUGAAGAAUACGAGAACCUUGUCUGAUUCAUAGUAGUUGUUGCUCUCACUUUCAGUCAUCUCAAAGGGAAAAAAACCCGGCUAUUUUAUUCAAGAAGUUAACCUUUUUUCAAAUUACGAACAGUCGGACAUUAACACCGGCUUCCAUAUGAUUUCAUAAAAUAUAUUUACCAAAAGAAAAAUUGUUCUAUUUAUUUCAACUAAAAGCUUUAAAAAAAUAAGAAUAAAAAGAUAUGCUUUUUGGGCAUAGGUGCUUGGUUUGCGUACGCGUUGCCCAGACGGUAACUGAGUUUUGUAACAUAAAAAAUUCUAUAUUUAACGAAAAAAAGUGUGUUUCAAGACUUUGGCGAUUGUACUUAUCAUGUACCACCUCGGCGAAAAACUGGACACAGACGAGUACCCGACAGAAUUCCAUAUGAAGGCCAUGACGACCACGUACUCGACGAUGAUAAUUCCGACGACGUUUCGUUUCGAGCUGGAUCUAUUCGAACUUCAAGACAUGGGGAUCUUACUUGUAUCAAUUAUUUAUCCACUUUGUAUUUGUCCAUCUGGUUAUCUUUUCCUAGUCAAGGAUUCUUUUGCAGAACUUAUACGUGAACACACUUGGGACUUUGAUGUAUUUCGGUGCGUGCUUUUUCACCGUUUCCGCCACGGCGGGCCUCUACGUCGUAGAACGGAACGACUACAAUAUCGCCGAAGAUAACAGAAACGACUACGUGAUUGUGAAAUCAGUCUUGGCUGGACUGUAAAUGAUGAUUUCAUCCAUCUGAGACCUAUUUGUAUGCACGAACAUGUUCCAUGAUUUACAACGCAACAGCGACGGCUUUUUUCGGUAAAUCAUUUCUCACAGAAGAUUUUAAUCAUGUACAGCCAAUUAUCGCUGAUUGUUAAUUGCGCUAGGAAUUUUAUUAAAAUACGGUGAGAUGAAAGAGAUAAAAGGAAUACAUUUCUUAUAUUAUCAACCUCAAUAAAGAGAGAAUGAGCCAUCUGAGUCGGAUAAGCAAAAGUUCACGCAAUUCUUUAAUCAGAUGUUUUCAAGAGGCUGAGAUGAGCACGGCUGAGGAACCGAUUUUAUCAACAUUGCCUGGAUAGAAAGUGGGCUUGCCUAAACAGUUGCCAGAGGGUUUGUCUUCGUUUUUUAACCGUGUGAAGCAACUGAUGCAAACACAUCGAACAUGAUUUAUGCAAGGCACGGGUGCGAAUCGACUUCUGGCAAAUGACUACGCUGAUUGUCCUCCCGGAGGUCCAUAAAUCACGUUACUUCUCAAAUCGUCCAAUUACUUUUCAUUCUUACAUGUUUUAUUCGACUGGACGUUUUAUAUUGUUAUAGGGUGUGGGUGGAUCGAUAGUGAGAUUUAAGAGUCGUGAUAUUUAACGGUCAUGUAACAACUUUUGACAUCUCUCCGGUCAACUUUUCACGAGGGGUGUAUGGUAAAGCGAUGCUAGGACGUGGGAUGACAGAGGUGGUUGUGAAUGGUGAAAUGUCACGAGGUCAUUUCCGAGUGUCACCAGCCCUCUUGGUUACGCCACGAUGAUCCUUCUACUUGUUCCUUUUGUCCUCUGAUUUCGUGUAGGUAAACAUACAAAGCCAAUUGUGUCACAAAGACGGAGUCUGGUUUAUGCUGAUUCCCUUUUGAAGAAAAUCUUUAAUUCAACGAAAACGUCAACACGACAGGAUGACUUGUCGUUGAAGAAAACGAGCUUCAUCACAUUACAUUUUGGAAAUAAACACCCCAAUUAGAUAACGAGAUUUAAAUUUAAAUGGUAAAAUUGUCAUUGUAC